GAAUCGCUAGUAAUCGCGGAUCAGCAUGCCGCGGUGAAUACGUUCCCAGGCCUUGUACACACCGCCCGUCACACCAUGGGAGUUGGAUUCACCCGAAGGUAGUGCGCUAACCGCAAGGAGGCAGCUAACCACGGUGGGUUCAGCGACUGGGGUGAAGUCGUAACAAGGUAGCCGUAGGGGAACCUGCGGCUGGAUCACCUCCUUU
rnacentral:rRNA from 1 species